CGCCGCCCCUUGGGAUUUGUUGCACCAGUAGCAGGUAGCUUAACCUUCGGGAGGGCGCUUGCCACGGUGUGGCCGAUGACUGGGGUGAAGUCGUAACAAGGUAGCCGUAUCGGAAGGUGCGGCUGGAUCACCUCCUUUUGAGCAUGACGUCAUCGUCCUUGCGGGCGUCCUCACAAAUUACCUGCAUUCAGAGAUGCGUAUCGGCACAGGCCGGUAUGCGAAAGUCCCAUCAUGGGGCCUUAGCUCAGCUGGGAGAGCACCUGCUUUGCAAGCAGGGGGUCGUCGGUUCGAUCCCGACAGGCUCCACCAUUUGAGUGAAACGACUUUGGGUCUGUAGCUCAGGUGGUUAGAGCGCACCCCUGAUAAGGGUGAGGUCGGUGGUUCGAGUCCUCCCAGACCCACCACUCUGAAUGUAGUGCACACUUAAGAAUUUAUAUGGCUCAGCGUUGAGGCUGAGACAUGUUCUUUUAUAACUUGUGACGUAGCGAGCGUUUGAGAUAUCUAUCUAAACGUGUCGUUGAGGCUAAGGCGGGGACUUCGAGUCCCUAAAUAAUUGAGUCGUAUGUUCGCGUUGGUGGCUUUGUACCCCACACAACACGGCAUGUGACCCUGAGGCAACUUGGGGUUAUAUGGUCAAGCGAAUAAGCGCACACGGUGGAUGCCUAGGCGGUCAGAGGCGAUGAAGGACGUGGUAGCCUGCGAAAAGUGUCGGGGAGCUGGCAACAAGCUUUGAUCCGGCAAUAUCCGAAUGGGGAAACCCACUGCUUCGGCAGUAUCCUGCAGUGAAUUCAUAGCUGCUGGAAGCGAACCCGGUGAACUGAAAUAUCUAAGUAACCGGAGGAAAAGAAAUCAACCGAGAUUCCCUAAGUAGUGACGAGCGAACGGGGAGCAGCCCUUAAGCUGGGAAUGGCUUUAGAAAAACAAUCUGGAAAGAUUGGCCAUAGAAGUGAUAGCCCUGUAUUUAAAAGGGCCACUCCAGUGAAGACGAGUAGGGCGGGCACGUGAAACCCUGUCUGAAUAUGGGGGGACCAUCCUCCAAGGCUAAAUACUCCUGACCGACCGAUAGUGAACCAGUACCGUGAGGGAAGUAAAAAAAAAACACCCCC
rnacentral:misc_RNA from 1 species